rnacentral:rRNA from 1 species
UCAAGCAAAAAAGAGCGCAGGGUGGAUGCCUUGGCACUAAGAGCCGAAGAAAGACGUGAUAAGCUGCGAAAAGCUGCGGGGAGGAGCAAAUAUCCACUGAUCCGCAGAUGUCUGAAUGGGGAAACCCGCAUGAGCAUACCUCAUGCAUCCAUACGCCAAUCCAUAACGUAUGGAAGGGAACCGCCUGAACUGAAACAUCUAAGUAGGGCGAGGAAGAGAAAGAAAAUUUAUCGAUUUCCAAAGUAGCGGCGAGCGAAAUGGAAAGAGGCCAAACCGGAGUGCGUGCACUCCGGGGUUCGGACCGCAUUUAAGAUCUGAUGAUCCUAGCAGAAAGGUUUUGGGAAAGCCUGCCGGAGAGGGUGAAAGCCCCGUAAGCGAAAGGAAAGCCAGCUGAGCGGUAUCCAGAGUACAUCGAGACACGAGAAACCUUGAUGGAAUGAGCGGGGACCACCCCGUAAGCCUAAAUACUCCUUAGUGACCGAUAGCGCAUAGUACUGUGAAGGAAAGGUGAAAAGGACCCCGGGAGGGGAGUGAAAGAGAACCUGAAACCCUGUGUUUACAAGCUGUGGGACAUCUUUACAUGAUGAACCGCGUACUUUUUGUAGAACGGUCCGGCGAGUUGCGGAUGCCGGCAAGGUUAAGCACUUAAGGUGUGGAGCCGAAGGGAAACCAAGUCUGAAGAGGGCGCAUAUAGUCAGUAUCCGCAGACCCGAAACCGGGUGAUCUACCCAUGUCCAGGUUGAAGUUGCCGUAAAAGGCAAUGGAGGACCGAACGCACAUCCGUUGAAAAGGGUGGCGAUGAGGUGUGGGUAGGGGAGAAAUUCCAAUCGAACCCGGAGAUAGCUGGUUCUCCUCGAAAUAGCUUUAGGGCUAGCCUCAUACGAGUCUUGCGGAGGUAGAGCACUGAAUUUCCUAGGGGGCGUCAAAGCUUACCGAAGAAUAUCAAACUCCGAAUGCCGCGUAGAUGAUGUAUGGGAGUCAGACUAUACGAGAUAAGUUGGAUAGUCGAAAGGGAAAGAGCCCAGACCACCGGCUAAGGUCCCAAAAUGUGUGUUAAGUGGAAAAGGAUGUGGGAUUUCGAAGACAACCAGGAUGUUGGCUUAGAAGCAGCCAUACAUUAAAAGAGUGCGUAAUAGCUCACUGGUCGAGAGGUCCUGCGCCGAAAAUGUCCGGGGCUGAAACACACUACCGAAGCCGUGGAAUCAUCGAAUGAUGAUUGGUAGAGGAGCAUUCUUAAAGAGAAGAAGCUGUACUGUAAAGAGCAGUGGAUUUUUAAGAAGAGAGAAUGCCGGAAUGAGUAGCGAGAGGAAGGUGAGAAUCCUUCCGGCCGAAUAUCUAAGGUUUCCAGAGUAAAGCUGAUCUGCUCUGGGUAAGUCGGGGCCUAAGGCGAGGUCGAAAGACGUAGUCGAUGGAUAACAGGUUGAAAUUCCUGUACUAUGAUAUGACAGAACUGUGGGGACACGUGUGGAAAGCGGAAGCCGGGAAUGGAAAGACCGGUGCAAGCAAGGUAGGAGACUGGUUGGCAAAUCCGCCAGUCAAUCUGAAGAUGUGAUGCGUACUGAAAUAUAAGUAAGGAAGUCCGUGAGCCAUGCGUCAAGAAAAGCCGCUAUUGUUCAUAUCGUACCCGUACCGUAAACCGACACAGGUGGAUGAGGAGAGAAUCCUAAGGCCGACGGGAGAAGCAUUGUUAAGGAACUCGGCAAAAUGACUCCGUAACUUCGGGAGAAGGAGUGCCAGUGAGAGCUGGCCGCAGAGAAUUGGCCCAAGCAACUGUUUAGCAAAAACACAGGUCUAUGCAAAACCGAAAGGUGAAGUAUAUGGGCUGACGCCUGCCCGGUGCUGGAAGGUUAAGGGGAGAGGUUAGCAGUAAUGCGAAGCUUUGAACUUAAGCCCCAGUAAACGGCGGCCGUAACUAUAACGGUCCUAAGGUAGCGAAAUUCCUUGUCGGGUAAGUUCCGACCCGC